AAAGGUUGACCUCGGAUCAGGUAGGGAUACCCGCUGAACUCCCCCCAUAUCA
rnacentral:rRNA from 1 species